rnacentral:rRNA from 1 species
GAUGAACGCUGGCGGCGUGCUUAACACAUGCAAGUCGAGCGAAGCGAUUUUAAGGAAGCCUUCGGGUGGAAUUAAAAUUGACUUAGCGGCGGACGGGUGAGUAACGCGUGGGUAACCUGCCUCAUACAGGGGGAUAACAGUUAGAAAUGACUGCUAAUACCGCAUAAGCGCACAGUGCUGCAUAGCACAGUGUGAAAAACUCCGGUGGUAUGAGAUGGACCCGCGUCUGAUUAGGUAGUUGGUGAGGUAACGGCCCACCAAGCCGACGAUCAGUAGCCGACCUGAGAGGGUGACCGGCCACAUUGGGACUGAGACACGGCCCAAACUCCUACGGGAGGCAGCAGUGGGGAAUAUUGGACAAUGGGGGAAACCCUGAUCCAGCGACGCCGCGUGACUGAAGAAGUAUUUCGGUAUGUAAAGGUCUAUCAGCAGGGAAGAAAAUGACGGUACCUGACUAAGAAGCCCCGGCUACCUACGCGCCAGCAGCCGCCGUAA